rnacentral:sRNA from 1 species
AAAUAUUGGGUAGUUAUUCAUUUAUUGAUUUAAUUUUGGGAAAAAUGUCAUUUAAUCCCCCAACUUUCAAAAAAUGGUCAUUUUAUACAUCAACUUCGUAUGUGGCCGUUUAAAACAUGAACUAAACGUUGACUAAUUUUUAAAACAUGAUAUUUCGUUAACCAGGCCAAAAUAGACAUGCCGUUAUCAGUCAUUAACGGAACUUUUAACGUUCGUUUUCAUCCGUUAACUUUAUUAGUCAAGUUUCAAAUUGUGACCAUUUUAAACAUCAACUUCUUAUGUGGCCAUUUAAAACAUGAACUAAACGUUGACUACCAUUUAAGACAAGAAAAAUUCGUUGACCAGGCCAAAAUAGACAUGUCUCUAUCAGUAGAACUUAGAAACCCGUUAAUGACUGUUAAUCUGUCCAAAACAACGUCGUUUGAGAAUAAUCGAAAGAACAUAAAGAUUUUUCCCAUAUGAAAUCUCCAUAUCAAAAAGUUUUAAGCAGAACCCAAGAACAUAGUUUGAUAAAGAGAUAAUCGCAGUGCCAGUAAUUGGAAGCAAAUAAAGAUGUUUUCGUUUAUAUAUUUGUUUUAAAUUUUAAAAGGAAUCAUGGAAGCAAAUUGAAGACUCAUUAUAAGAUUGUUCGUCUUGUUUGAGCGGUUGUAGAAAUAGAUUUGGGGAACUUGGGUUUCAUUUAGAAAACAAUCCUGAUUUUCUUUUGAUUAUCCUCAAAACAAAGUCGUUUUAGGGAUACUAAUAGAGUCGUUAACAAGUGAUAAUGAAUGUUAUAAGUUCUUUUAAUGAAUGAUGACAACAUGUUUAUUUUGGCUUGGUCAACGAACUUCUCAUGUUUUAAAUGGUAGUCAACGCUUAGUUCAUGUUUAAAAUGGCCACAUAUAAAGUCGAUGUUUAAAAUAGCCACAAUUUAAAACUUGACUAAUAAAGUCGUUAACGGAUGAUAACGGACGUUAGAAGUUCCGUUAAUGAUUGAUAACGGCAUGUCUAUUUUGGCCUGGUCAACGAAUAAUCAUGUUUUAAAAGUUAGUCAACGUUUAGUUCAUGUUUUAAACGGCCGCAUACGAAGUUGAUGUAUAAAAUGGCCAUUUUUUUAAAGUUGGAGGAUUAAUUGACAUUUUGAAAGUUGGAGGAUUUGUGUGUGUGUUUUUAAUCCAAGAUCUGCUUGUUUAUCUGAAUCACUACAUUUGGUAUUUUAUUCCCAUAUUUUAUAGAAAUGUAUU